UUGACUCACGCGGGAAUCUUACCGGGUCCGGACACACUGAGGAUUGACAGAUAUACGCUACGUUGCGCUGCCUUCGGGUGCUGCACGUGGCUCAAAGAUGCUAGUUCUUUCAUGAUUAUGUGAUAGGUGGUGCAUGGCCGUUCUUAGUUCGUGGAGUGAUCUGUCUGCUUAAUUGCGUAUCAAUAAUAGAGACCUAGUAUACGCGUAUUACUCAUGUGGUAGUGACCCCCUUCUCACGGAGGCGCGUGUCGCACAUAUGGUAUACGCACUGGUCUCAGAUAGCAACGAACGUGACCGUAUUCUAUUGUUGCAGUGAAUUAUACGUGUGCUUUAUUGUACACAUUCCCACUGCUUAGUGUGCGCUGCCAGCACUUGUUGCUGCUGCGUCACACAUUAAACUAUAGAGACCGCUGUUUCUUCUUUAAACCAGAGGAAGGAUACGGCAAUAACAGGUCUGUGAUGCCCUCAGAUGUUCCGGGCUGCACACGUGCUACAAUGAUCAUUGCACUGUGCAUCUAACCCAAUGUGCGCGGACGCCACGAUACGUAAAAUUGUCUUCGGGCAUUUUUUAUGUAUUCGCUUGUGCGACUGCGCCGAACCUACUUCGAAAGUAAAAUUUUUAAGUGGGUAAUCCAUUAGAAGUAAUGACUCGCAUAGACCAUGGCACACUAUAUGUACGCGCAGGUCUACCCGGCUCGCCUUUGUGUGAGUGCAGUGCGUAGCUUGUUGUUUCGUACGUGCCACUCCGUAUUAAUUCGUACGUGGGGAUAGAUCAUUGUUUAAUUGUUGGUCUCGGUCUUAACUAGGAAUGCCUUGUACGGGUCUUUGGUUCAACAUACCACCCGGAAUACGUCCCUGCCCUUUGUACACACCGCCCGUCGCUCUUACCGAUGGAUUAUACUAUGAAUCUAUAGGACUGCCAAAGCUUUGCGGCGUGUUCGCACACCGCGCUUAGUGGAAAUAUAUAUGAAUAGUGUGAUCUAAAGGAAAGAGAAGUCGUAAC
rnacentral:rRNA from 1 species